UGCAUCGUCGAGAGUUUUCCACGGUCAAAGUCAAACGGUCUUCAGAGCCGUUACCCGCCCUUAGCUGGCGUCAAGCGGUCUUCAGAGCCGUUGCCCGGCCUCCGCGCAUUCACACUCGUUAUAUAUAUCCCCCCGCACUCGCAUUCUCUUCUUCAGCACACUCUCACACUAGUAUCCGAGUGUUCCAUCAACGGCCUCUUCCCUUUUGAGUGUUCGUUGCGGAAACCAAAAGCUAGGUCUACCAGGCAAUCGGAGGAAGAGAGAGCACAAGCGAAAGGAGUAGAGUGUUCGUUAUAUAUAUCCCCCCGCACUCGCAUUCUCUUCUUCAGCACACUCUCACACUAGUAUCCGAGUAAUCCAUCAAUGGCCUCUUCCCUUUUGAGUGUUCGUUGCCGAAACCAAACGCUAGGUCUACCAGGCAAUCGGAGGAAGAGAGAGCACAAGCGAAAGGAGUAGAGUGUUCGUUAUAUAUAUCCCCCCGCACUCGCAUUCUCUUCUUCAGCACACUCUCACACUAGUAUCCGAGUAAUCCAUCAAUGGCCUCUUCCCUUUUGAGUGUUCGUUGCCGAAACCAAACGCUAGGUCUACCAGGCAAUCGGAGGAAGAGAGAGCACAAGCGAAAGGAGUAGAGAGAGCACAAGCGAAAGGAGUUUCUCGCAUCGUCUCGGUGGUGAAAAAUAGAGAAGAGAGGAAGACGACGAACUCUUAUGUCAUUGAGAUUCGUGCCGAUAACGGAGAGCGGAAGAACGAAGCAGUUGCUCUCGAUGAAGUGAUUACUUGGGCAAAAGAAAAGCAGUUCGUCCUGUCACUGAGGUCAUGACGAUAAACGAUAUAGAGAUAUACACUGCCUGGAUAACAAUCAGUUUGUUGAAAUAGAAGGACGGUACGAUUCAUGUAAAGUUUGUUGCAAACAGUUAGGGUGCAUGAAAUAUCACCACACAAUACGGUAGAAGAAAGAAUUUGGUCAGCUGAAGAGGAAAAGGCAGGGUCUAAGAAAGCCUUUGGUCUGCUGAAGAGGAAAAGGCAGGGUCUAAAAAAGAUAUGGAAAAUGGAGGGCAUAGAUAGAGAUAAUAAAGUUGAGGUCAUUCGACGAGGAAUCCAACUCCGGUUGCUACUUUAAACACUCAAAUCACGCUACUGAAAUUGGAGGGCCAUAUGGAUCCAUCAAUGAUGAUUCUCGAACAGGUUUCAAGGGAAUCUCCUCAUUCGAAGCAUAUCUCUAAAGGUAAAAUGGACAUCUCUCUAAAACAGGGAAUCUCCUUAUUCGAAGCAUAUCUCUACAGGUAAAAUGGACAUCUCUCGAGAUAAGGUAGAUGACUCUUUUAUCUUCCUUGUUACAUUGCUAGAAUAAAGUUGGACCAGUUGGUAAGUGUU